GCUACUUUGGCAGAUAAGUGCGUUGGAUUUAGAAUCUAUUAAUGUAAAGUUUAUUUACAGGUAGUA
rnacentral:tRNA from 1 species